rnacentral:misc_RNA from 1 species
GGGCUAGUUAAAUCAGCUGACUCAGGCUUCAACGAUUUCCUAGGGAGUUUGCUCAAGAUUUGCUUCAACAUGGCGAAAGAUUAAAACUUUAUCUUCUCCUUUGUUAUAUUCCCCCAAAAGGAAUACAAAUCAAGGACAGUGUGUCAGAUCAUGGCCAUUGGAGAUGGAUCUGAAGGGGAUUGAAAGAAUGUGGUCAGAUCCAAAGGUUUGAGAUUUGUUGAAAGGCGAAGAAAAAGCCAGUGCCUUGAAGCACAUUUAGGUGAGAGAGAGAUAUCAGACCUUCACCAAAAAAAAAAUCACAGCCAGCAAAUGGGUUUUUACUUUCAAGUGCAUAAAACAAAACCCAUUAGUAAUUAGUCUCAUUUUGGAAGGAAGGAACAGAC